rnacentral:rRNA from 1 species
AUUGAACGCUGGCGGCAGGCUUAACACAUGCAAGUCGAGCGGAGAUGAGGUGCUUGCACCUUAUCUUAGCGGCGGACGGGUGAGUAAUGCUUAGGAAUCUGCCUAUUAGUGGGGGACAACAUUCCGAAAGGAAUGCUAAUACCGCAUACGUCCUACGGGAGAAAGCAGGGGAUCUUCGGACCUUGCGCUAAUAGAUGAGCCUAAGUCGGAUUAGCUAGGUGGUGGGGUAAAGGCCUACCAAGGCGACGAUCUGUAGCGGGUCUGAGAGGAUGAUCCGCCACACUGGGACUGGGACACGGCCCAGACUCCUACGGGAGGCAGCAGUGGGGAAUAUUGGACAAUGGGGGAAACCCUGAUCCAGCCAUGCCGCGUGUGUGAAGAAGGCCUUAUGGUUGUGAAGCACUUUAAGCGAGGAGGAGGCUACUGAGACUAAUACUCUUGGAUAGUGGACGUUACUCGCAGAAUAAGCACCGGCUAACUCUGUGCCAGCAGCCGCCGUAA